AAGCCCCAGUAAACGGCGGCCGUAACUAUAACGGUCCUAAGGUAGCGAAAUUCCUUGUCGGGUAAGUUCCGACCCGCACGAAAGGCGUAAUGAUUUGAGCGCUGUCUCGACAAUGCAUCCGGUGAAAUUGAAGUACCAGUGAAGAUGCUGGUUACCUGCGCCAGGACGGAAAGACCCCAUGGAGCUUUACUCCAGUUUGGUACUGGGAUCCGGUGCUGCAUGUACAGGAUAGGUGGGAGGCUGAGAAGGUGUGACGCCAGUCAUACCGGAGCCGCUGUUGGGAUACCACCCUUGCAGUAUUGGGUUUCUAACCAGCCGCCGUGACCCGGCGGUGGGACAAUGCCAGACGGGGAGUUUGACUGGGGCGGUCGCCUCCGAAAGGGUAUCGGAGGCGCCCAAAGGUUCCCUCAGAAUGGUCGGAAACCAUUCGAAGAGUGCAAAGGCAGAAGGGAGCUUGACUGCGACACCGACGGGUGGAGCAGGUACGAAAGUAGGGCUUAGUGAUCCGGUGGUAUUAAGUGGGAAUGCCAUCGCUCAACGGAUAAAAGCUACCCUGGGGAUAACAGGCUUAUCACUCCCAAGAGUUCACAUCGACGGAGUGGUUUGGCACCUCGAUGUCGGCUCAUCGCAUCCUGGAGCUGUAGCAGGUUCCAAGGGUUGGGCUGUUCGCCCAUUAAAGCGGUACGCGAGCUGGGUUCAGAACGUCGUGAGACAGUUCGGUCCCUAUCUGUCGUGGGCGUAGGAAGUUUGAGAAGAUCUGUCCUCAGUACGAGAGGACCGGGAUGGACAUAUCAAUGGUGCACCAGUUGUCACGCCAGUGGCACAGCUGGGUAGCUAAAUAUGGAAGGGAUAAACGCUGAAGGCAUCUAAGUGUGAAACCCACUUCAAGAUGAGACUUCCCAUUACGCAAGUAAGUAAGACCCCUUAAAGACGAUAAGGUUGAUAGGUCAGGAGUGUAAGCAUGGCGACAUGUUCAGCGGACUGAUACUAAUAGGUCGAGGACUUAACCU
rnacentral:rRNA from 1 species